rnacentral:rRNA from 1 species
AGCGAACGCUGGCGGCGUGCCUAACACAUGCAAGUCGAACGUGAACGGGGGUAACCCCUAGUAAAGUGGCGUACGGGUGAGUAACGCGUAGGUAAUCUACCCCAGAGUUUCGAAUAACCUGCCGAAAGGCGGGCUAAUACGAAUAGAGCGAGGGAAUCCGUAAUUGGGUUUUUCGGGUAAAGGGAGGUCGUAAGACCCCUUGCGUUUGGAUGAGCCUGCGUCUCAUUAGCUAGUUGGUAAGGUAACGCUUACCAAGGCGAUGAUGGUAGCUGGUCUGAGAGGAUGAUCAG